rnacentral:rRNA from 1 species
AAACUGGAGAGUUUGAUCCUGGCUCAGAAUGAACGCUGGCGGCGUGCCUAACACAUGCAAGUCGCACGAGAAAGGCUGGGGCAACUUGGCCGAGUAAAGUGGCGCACGGGUGAGUAACGCGUGGGUAACCUGCCCUCGAAUCUGGGAUAACUUCGCGAAAGCGGGGCUAAUACCGGAUACGUUCCCUGUGGGGAAGAAAGCCGGCCUCUCAAAGAAGCUGGUGUUCGGGGAUGGGCCCGCGUCCUAUCAGCUUGUUGGUAGGGUAACGGCCUACCAAGGCGACGACGGGUAGCUGGUCUGAGAGGAUGGCCAGCCACACUGGCACUGGAACACGGGCCAGACUCCUACGGGAGGCAGCAGUGAGGAAUUUUGCGCAAUGGGAGCAAUCCUGACGCAGCAACGCCGCGUGGGUGAUGAAGGCCUUCGGGUCG